UAAUCCUCCAUUAUGAUGAUGUGCUGGUGUUUUUCUUUCCAGCAGCCUCAGUCGUUCCCCAGCUGCUCAUGAUUGGUGAUAUCCUCUACUGAUGACACUUAGCACAUAGGAAUAAGCUGUAGAGCUCUUGUGGUCUGCACCAGAUAGCAGCCUGUCCAGCAGAAGCUUUUAACAACAUUUUCUUGAAGUUAUGGAAUUCAAUAAAGUUUCUGAAGACUUACCUUUCUGAAAAUGUAAGGGUAAGCCUACACUGAAACACAGAGUAGCUGGCAAGCUGAAAACACAUUGCUGACCACAGAAGGAAAGAGAUGAAUAAACAAUGUAUACAAGUGUUAGUAAAUCA
rnacentral:lncRNA from 1 species